UACGAAGGGUGCAAGCGUUAAUCGGAAUUACUGGGCGUAAAGGGUGCGUAGGCGGUUGUUUAAGUUUGUCGUGAAAUCCCCGGGCUCAACCUGGGAAUGGCGAUGGAUACUGGGCAGCUAGAGUGUGUCAGAGGAUGGUGGAAUUCCCGGUGUAGCGGUGAAAUGCGUAGAGAUCGGGAGGAACAUCAGUGGCGAAGGCGGCCAUCUGGGACAACACUGACGCUGAAGCACGAAAGCGUGGAGAGCAAACAGG
rnacentral:rRNA from 1 species